GAGGGUAUAGCUCAAGUGGUAGAGCGCAUGCUUAGCAUGCACAGGGUCCUGGGGUCAAUCCCCAGUACUGCCU
rnacentral:tRNA from 1 species